rnacentral:rRNA from 1 species
GACGAACGCUGGCGGCGUGCUUAACACAUGCAAGUCGAACGGAAAGGCCCUGCUUUUGUGGGGUGCUCGAGUGGCGAACGGGUGAGUAACACGUGAGUAACCUGCCCUUGACUUUGGGAUAACUUCAGGAAACUGGGGCUAAUACCGGAUAGGAGCUCCUGCUGCAUGGUGGGGGUUGGAAAGUUUCGGCGGUUGGGGAUGGACUCGCGGCUUAUCAGCUUGUUGGUGGGGUAGUGGCUUACCAAGGCUUUGACGGGUAGCCGGCCUGAGAGGGUGACCGGCCACAUGGGGACGGAGAUACGGCCCAGACUCCUACGGGAGGCAGCGGUGGGGAAUAUUGCACAAUGGGCGGAAGCCUGAUGCAGCAACGCCGCGUGCGGGAUGACGGCCUUCGGGUUGUAAACCGCUUUCGCCUGUGACGAAGCGUGAGUGACGGUAAGGGGUAAAGAAGCACCGGCUAACUACG